rnacentral:misc_RNA from 1 species
UUAAGUUCAGCGGGUAUUCCUACCUGAUCCGAGGUCAACCUUGAGAAUAGAGGCUUGCGGCAGGGGCCCGCCUGGCGCCCGGAACGACGUAUAGUACUACGCUCGGGGCCAGGGCCGGGACCGCCGAUGUCUUUUAGGGGCUGCGGGUGCAGGCCCCCAACACCAGGCGAGGGCCUGAGGGUGGAAAUGACGCUCGAACA